rnacentral:rRNA from 1 species
AUGCAAGUCGAACGGUAACAGGGAGUGCUUGCACUCUGCUGACGACCGGCGCACGGGUGCGUAACGCGUAUGCAACCUACCUUCUACAGGGGGAUAGUCCAGAGAAAUUUGGCAUAAUACCCCAUACGAUCAUUUAUUGGCAUCAAUAGAUGAGGAAAACUCCGGUGGUAGAAGAUGGGCAUGCGUCCUAUUAGUUAGUUGGUAAGGUAACGGCUUACCAAGACAUCGAUAGGUAGGGGUCCUGAGAGGGAGAUCCCCCACACUGGUACUGAGACACGGACCAGACUCCUACGGGAGGCAGCAGUGAGGAAUAUUGGACAAUGGGUGAGAGCCUGAUCCAGCCAUGCCGCGUGCAGGAAGACUGCCCUAUGGGUUGUAAACUGCUUUUAUACAGGAAGAAACACUCGGACGUGUCCGAGCUUGACGGUACUGUAAGAAUAAGCACCGGCUAACUCCGUGCCAGCAGCCGCGGUAAUACGAAGGGUGCAAGCGUUAUCCGGAAUCAUUGGGUUUAAAGGGUCCGCAGGCGGUCAAUUAAGUCAGAGGUGAAAUCCCAUAGCUUAACUAUGGAACUGCCUUUGAUACUGGUUGACUUGAGUUAUACGGAAGUAGAUAGAAUGUGUAGUGUAGCGGUGAAAUGCAUAGAUAUUACACAGAAUACCGAUUGCGAAGGCAGUCUACUACGUAUAUACUGACGCUCAUGGACGAAAGCGUGGG